GGGUGUAUCAAGUUAGAGUGCUUUUAUUAUGAGAGGUGAGAGGAGUAAAUCACAGCCCUUAGAUCAAUCAUUACUAUGAUAUUUAAUUUUUAUUAAUGUAGGUAAUCUUUCACACCUUCAUUCCCUUAUUUCUCUCACGUUCUUAUUAUUCUUGUUUUCUCAGAUUUCAUCCAUGAUGCUCCCAUUACACAUCUAUCUUUCUACUUGAAAUCGAUUGGUUUCUCUUCAUUUUCAUUUGAAUUGCUUUGUUCCCCUGUUCUAAAUCCUUAUUUAAUUUUUACAUUGUAAUUGCUUUGUUC
rnacentral:lncRNA from 1 species